AAGGGGUGUUCAGAACAACAAGAACUGCUAAUUCUCAACACUGAAGUUAAAAUCCUCAGACCCCUU
rnacentral:tRNA from 1 species